UGACCCAGCAACGCCGCGUGAAGGAAGAAGGUCUUCGGAUUGUAAACAUCUGUCCUAUGGGACGAAGGAAGUGACGGUACCAUAGGAGGAAGCCCCGGCUAACUACGUGCCAGCAGCCGCGGUAAU
rnacentral:rRNA from 1 species